rnacentral:tRNA from 1 species
GGCUCCGUAGCUCAGCUGGAUAGAGCAUCAGAUUUCGGCUCUGAGGGUCGGGGGUUCGAAUCCUCCCGGGGUCA